AGAUCUAGAUUUUGGAUUUCAACAACCAAAUAAACCAUCCCCAAAUUUCUUCUUCUUUUUCUACAUCUAUGGAGUUCACUCUCUGAGUCAUAUAAACAAACACUUUCAAGCCGUUUUUCACUCAUGAUCUAUCUUGGUUUCUACCUCGGAGAUUGAUUCUUCUUUCUUUCAAAGAGAUAUUGGUGGUGCUGUACAAGAUCUUUAAGUGUUUUUCAAGCUGAUGAUUGAUGUCCUCUUCUACUGAGUCAUAUUUUUGCACCACCAACACACAGGAAUAAUAAGCUAGGAACACAGCUAUAACCACAUAGUCGUCGAUGUGCAGCGUCCAACACCCUGUAUCCACACAGCCCGAUGUGCAGCCCGAACACAGCCAUAACCGCCCUGCCCGAUGUGCUGCGUCGAACACAGCCGUAGCCACACAGCCCGAUGUGCAGCUCGAACACAGCCAAAACUGUGAACCGAAGCGCUGUGCAUUGAAGCGCUAUGAGGCAACAUGUUGUGAACCGCCGUGCAUUGAAGCGCAGUGCGGCCAGCUGUGAACCGAAGCGCUGUGCAUCGAAGCGCUGUGAACCGGAACACUGUGAAACGAAGCGCUGUGCAUUGAAGCGCAAUGAGGCCAACCGCUGUGAACCGACUGUGAGUUGAAUUGCUAUAAGCCAAAGAAGUAUGUGCUGAUAGCUAAUGCUGAGGCUGGUUGGCGUUGGCGAGGCUUGCACAUUAAUCUUGCUGCUCCAUUGACUUAUUGCCGUGCUUUUGUUGCUAAGCUUGGAACACAGCUAUAACGACGUAGUCGUCGAUGUGCAGCGUUGAACACCCUGUAUCCACACAGCCCGAUGUGCAGCCCGAACACAGCCAUAACCGCCCAGCCCGAUGUGCUGCGUCGAACACAGCCGUAGCCACACAGCCCGAUGUGCAGCUCGAUCACAGCCAAAACUGUGAACCGAAGCGCUGUGCAUUGAAGCGCUAUGAGGCAACAUGUUGUGAACCGAAGCGCCGUGCAUUGAAGCGCAGUGCGGCCAGCUGUGAACCGAAGUGCUGUGCAUCGAAGUGCAGUGAACCGGAACACUGUGAAACGAAGCGCUGUGCGUUGAAGCGCAAUGAGGCCAACCGCUGUGAACCGACUGUGAGUUGAAUUGCUAUAAGCCAAAGAAGUAUGUGCUGAUAGCUAAUGCUGAGGCUGGUUGGUGUUGGCGAGGCUUGCACAUUAAUCUUGCUGCUCCGUUGAUUCUUUGCCGUGCUUUUGUUUCUAAGCUUUGAACCAAAAUGCUGGGAACGGAAAUGCUCUGGGUCAGAAGACUGUGAGCCGAAAAACUUUGCCAAUAGCUGUCUCGCCUACCCAACCUCUGACAUUUCAAAAUGGAGGGUUAUCCAAAAGAAUACCAAGUUGUAAAUAUUCAAUUCUUAUGUUUACUAUAUUCUGCAUAAUUUCCCUACUGACUUGAGCGUCGGAGUAUCUUUUUUGUUUGCUGCAGGUCUCGCCUUCUCAAUACUAAGACAUUUUCAACAAGGAGGGUUGUUGAAACAGAAUGCUGGUGCAUCCUGGUGCAAAACGAACUAAAAUCCCGAUUUCUGGUUGACAUUGGGUGCAGUUUUUGUUUUUUCUUCAGAGUUUUCAUUUCGUAAUUUUGUUAGUUCGUUGUAUGUUGGAAGUCAAGAUCCUGUAAUCCUCUUAUAUUCUUUGAGUUGGAGAGUGGUACAAUAAACUGAGACAAGUCAUUUAAUCACUGAAUGCACUCAUGUAUCACCCAUUCUCGCAUAUGGUGCUGAAUUUUUGAUGCUGAUGCCAUCUUUGUUUUUGCUGUGUUGGUUUAGUGGUUCAAGGGGAAGAUGGUGUUUCUUCACUUGUUAAUCUGUGCGAUGGGUUCUUUGAUGUCUCCUACUUCUAUUGUACCUGCAACUUUCUGAGGGAGUUGAACUAUGGCUGUUUAAGUGCCUGGCAGUAUUUGGGAUUGUGAGAAUGUGUUGUUUCUCUCAUACAAGGCUAGUAAGAUUCAUCCUUCCCCAUUCUGGAUAUUUAGCCGUUCUUCAUCUCUUGGUUCUGUGACAUUUGCAGGUAGUUUUGAUUGUAAGCUGCAAGCUAAUGGUGUUGUCUUCAUCUCUUAGAAAUCAGGAAGAUGUUUGUGUGAAGUUAUGCUAUUGGAGUGUGCUCCGUUCGUAAAAGGUUCUCUGAAGAUGGUUUUGCUGGACUCCUCAUGGCAGCUGACAUUUGGCAGUUUGUUAUUCCCUUGUCUAUUAACAGUUUGCUGUUUGAGAGUUUUGAUUACAAGAACGAAGGUGCUUAUUACGUUCUUGCAGAGUCGUAAUAUACUGAGCUGCUGUUGUUACUCACUCUGGUGCUGACUCUCUCAAGUUGUUAGCUAAGUUGAUUUUGUCGCCGCUAUUACUUCAAGAGAAUUUGCAUCCACAAUUUACUUCUUAGGUAGCUGGUUCAGUAAGGGUGCCAAAUUGUUGGUGCUGUGGGUUUACAUUACUGUUGGUUCAGUUAAGAGUUCUAUGGGCUGCCUUCAUGUGUUUGCUAGCUAGUUCUGUUUUGUAGGGUCUGGGUGUGAGCUGUUGCAGUAAGUGGUUUUACCAGCUUGUUGAACUCUGCCCUCAACUCCAGAUUUUUCUUAUGGUUGUUUGCUUGGUCUUCUUGGGUUAAGUUCAGGCUAAAUGGAGUAGUUUGUAUUUCGCUAAAUGGAGUGGUUUGUGUUUCUCUUUGGACUUCGUUUUUUUUUUUGGUUUGCUCUUA